rnacentral:rRNA from 1 species
UACGUAGGGGGCCAGCGUUGGCUCGGAAUUACUGGGCGUAAAGGGUCCGGUAGGCGGUGUAGCAAGUCGAUAGUGAAAUCUCUGGGCUUAACCCAGAGGCUGCUAACGAAACUGCUGUGCUAGAGUGUGAGAGAGGCGAGUGGAAUUACGGGUGUAGCGGUGAAAUGCGUAGAUAUCCGUAGGAACACCGGUGGCGAAGGCGGGUCUCUGGGCCGAUACUGACGCUGAGGAGCGAAAGCGUGGGGAGCGAACAGG